rnacentral:rRNA from 1 species
UACGUGAGGCACCAAGCGUUGUCCGGAUUUAUUGGGCGUAAAGGGCUCGUAGGCGGCCAACUAAGUCGGACGUGAAAUCCCUCGGCUUAACCGGGGAACUGCGUCCGAUACUGGAUGGCUUGAGUUUGGGAGAGGGAUGCGGAAUUCCAGGUGUAGCGGUGAAAUGCGUAGAUAUCAGGAGGAACACCGGUGGACGAAGGCGGGUCUCUGGGCCGAGUGACUGACGCUGAGGAGCGAAAGCGUGGGGAGCGAACAGG